AUAUUUAUAGCUCAGUUGGUAAAGAAUCUGCCUGCAAUGCAGGAGAUCCUGGUUCAAUUCCAGGAAGAUCUG
rnacentral:tRNA from 1 species